UACAGGGGGGGCAAGCGUUGUUCGGAAUUACUGGGCGUAAAGGGUUCGUAGGUGGCCAACUUAGUCAGACGUGAAAUCCCUCAGCUUAACUGGGGAACUGCGUCUGAUACUGGAUGGCUCGAGUGCAGGAGAGGAACGCGGAAUUCCAGGUGUAGCGGUGAAAUGCGUAGAUAUCUGGAGGAACACCGGUGGCGAAGGCGGCGUUCUGGACUGCAACUGACACUGAGGAACGAAAGCCAGGGGAGCAAACGGG
rnacentral:rRNA from 1 species